rnacentral:lncRNA from 1 species
UCUGUCUCUCUCUCUGUGUGUGUGUGUGUUCUGCUCGGGACCGCUUUUCAGAUUGCUCUCUGUGUUUUGCUGUCUCAAGGUAGCUUUCUUUUGAAACGCUAAAAACUCCAGAUAGCUCAUUUCUUGUAGACCAAAAGCCCAGUUUUAUUUAUUUUUAUUUAUUUUUAUUUUUUUACAUAUUAAUUCAGUCAUUACCCCAGGUUCCUUUUUGAUUACCCCAUGAUUCAGCAUCCCACAACCAUAGCCCCUUGAUUCUUAGAAAGGAAUAGCAAGCACACACAGACAAUAAGGUAGUUGGAUGGAACCCUACUCGGAAAUUACCAUUCUGACCACACCUGGACCUAAAUUAGCUCUGUCCCUGGAUAAUCUUGAACUCAGGAAUCAUCUGCCUUUGUAAUUGUAAACAAACAAACAAACAAACAAACUUCUGAGUUGGGCAGGAUCUGGCCUUGAGAUCACUACUCCUUAAAUCUCUUUAUCUUUUCCUUUAGUUACUUUCUGACAAGCUGUCUCACAGUACAGCUGCCUCGGUUCCUUUAGAUCUGUGAAGCUCCAUAUACAAUUCAUAGUGCAUCGUUAUAUUUUGCGUCGUUGGGAAACUAUAUAUUUUCAAACUCAUGUUUUCAGCAUUCUUUCCCACAGCCUUGAAGGCUGUCCUGAAGGUCACAGCACUCUAUCAUUUUGCUGAGACAUAGGCAUACCCUUGUCUCCUGGACUCAUGCUGUCUCUGAUUAUCAUGGAAUCAUUAACCUUGGUAGAGGGAGGGGUGUGAAAGUAUGUACAUUAUAUUACAAACAAGCCUUAUGCCCACAGCAACAACCAAACUUCGUGGAGGCCCAUGCCCUGCUGGCUCUAUUCCAGGGCAAGAAACUAUGUCAUACUGUCCCUUACAUGGCCAAGCAGACUCAGCACUGUAUAGAACUUUUUCCAGGACAGUCACUGGUGAUAUUUUUUUUAAUACAUUGACAAUGGGUUAUUUUUAUAUUGUAAGUCUUUCUAAAAAUUAAGAUAGAUGGUAGUGUACAGAUUUUCCAUCUGAAGUGUUUUUUGAAUGAUUGUGGCCAAUUCAUUGUAGCUAGCUUUGGUUGAGUCUAUUUGGCAUAUUUAAAAUAUUUGUGUAUUCUUUUUGAUAUUUUCCCCACUAUCACAAAUGGUGGUACAUUGUUGACUAUUCAAACUAGCAGGGAAUAGAAUGUAUGCAGGGAUCCAAUGUGUAGAGGUAUUUUCUUGUAUUUUGUUUGUUUGUUUUCUAUUUCUUUGCUUGUUAUUUUUCUUGGCACAAGGUCUCACUCUAUACCAGGUGGGUCUAAGACUUCUAACAAUCUUUUUACCUCAGACCCCCAAUGCUGGAAUUACAGGUGUGGGCCACCAUAAUCAGUUGACAUCUAGUUUUUAAAUAAGGAAUAAUAGACACAUCAUUUGCCAUACGAUACCCACCCUUUCUCUAUCUGCCUUUUCCUAGUUAUUCUUCUGUGAACAUGAGUCACACAUUUCUGUUACUAGUCUCUGUCAAGGGAAGCAUUAUGUUGUAAGAAGUUUUCAAUGGGCGUAGCCACUGCCCUUGACCUGCUUGUCCUGUGAGCAUGGCCAAAUGGUUUCACAAAUGGAGGGCUCGCCUCCCAUUUGCUAGCAAAGGCUGGAUCUGUCAGGAGACUUGAGGCAAGAUUCUCAGAGACAGACAGGGGCAGGGCAGGUUAAAACCUCAAUAUUUUUUACCUUCUGAAUAGUUGUCUGAUAUAUUUAACCUUUCUAGGAGACAGGGCUCAGAAUGAGGCUCCAGUCCGCUAUACCCCCACCCCAAGAAGACCACCCAACUCUCCCUCAUGAGGUCUUUUCCUGGUAACAGUAAUUUUCUUUUGAAAGGUUAUAUUCCCUUGCUGCAAGGACAAUACAGAACCCAUACACACAGAUUAUUGAUUUCACUUUCUAUAAACAUUGUUCUCAAAAUUUAGAAAUUGGAUUGCAAGGAAAUAGUACCACAAGCUCAAGACAUGAGGCUCAUUAACAUGUGACCCACGUUCUUUUAAUUAGCUUUCCUUUGCAUGAAACACUACCUUCAGUGCUUCCCCAUCCCCAAAGCACACAUAGCCCACACUCCCAACAUGGGCAAUUAGACUAAGAAACUUUAUAAAUUCAUGUCCCGCUUCUAUCGACUUCUAUAAACUUUGUAGGGUUUGUCGACAGCUUCCAACAAGUCGUUGAAUGAAACACACUAUCACUUGGUUACAGGGGGUCUAGGGAAAUUCUCUAUUGUUCUGUCAUCUAUGAAAAUAGGCCAACUUGGCAGCAUUUAGGUUCAUCAACCAUUGCAAAUGAUUCUUCAAAUGUUUUGGGUUUGGUAAAACCUAAAACACAUUUUUGCCAAGUACUUUUUUUUCCUUAAUUUUUCAAACUGUGUAUUUUAGGGAGCAUUUGACCCAUAUGGUUUUGAUUCAUUUACUCUCAUAUCACUGGUUUUUUCCUCUCUUUUCUUUUUUUUUCCUACGGAGCUAUUUGAUAUACAAGAGGCUUUCCUACACUCAGUAUAAAGCUCUCUCCUUCAUAGAAGGAGGAAGUGCUGUCUGCAGCCUCAGAGGACAUCAAUUCCAAGACCCACUCCAGCAACACUUAAAACUACAUUUGGUAUAAGCUUGGGUCAUUCGAGUUUCAUUCUGGCUUAUGAGUGAAACCAAUGACAAAAUAAGAAAAUAGGCUUAAAUUAC